rnacentral:lncRNA from 1 species
UUUUUCCCUUGCAGGGCGGCGGAGACCGGAAGGCGGCAUCCGCAGCUGGCAAGGCCCGAGGGUCCGCAGCCCACCGAGCCGAGCACAGCAGGCAGUCAACGUCGAAUCCGAACUUGAAUUCUGUGCGGCUGAUUGCAGAGCUGUCUUGACGCCCCAAGGUCUCGGAUCGGCGACCCCCGGGGGACAGAAGUCGGCUGUUCUCCCGGAGACGAGCUUUCUCGCGGAGGCCACUGGUUGCAGAAGCUGGAAGUGAAAUAAAGGUGCGCGCGCGCCCGUUCCUGCGCUCCAGUAACCCCUUCGGAGAUCGGCGAGCCCCCCAGCACCCCUGCAUCUUAGGCUUUUCCACAAAGCCUGAGCAUCUUGCUGUGUCCCGA